CAGCCGCCACGGGAAUACAGAGGGUGCGAGCGUUAAUCGGAUUUACUGGGCGUAAAGCGUGCGUAGGCGGCUUUUUAAGUCGGAUGUGAAAUCCCUGAGCUUAACUUAGGAAUUGCAUUCGAUACUGGGAAGCUAGAGUAUGGGAGAGGAUGGUAGAAUUCCAGGUGUAGCGGUGAAAUGCGUAGAGAUCUGGAGGAAUACCGAUGGCGAAGGCAGCCAUCUGGCCUAAUACUGACGCUGAGGUACGAAAGCAUGGGGAGCAAACAGGAUUAGAGACCCGAGUAGUCCCUGUCUCUUAUAC
rnacentral:rRNA from 1 species